rnacentral:lncRNA from 1 species
GUCUUAAAGUGUGCUGUCUAGUUAGGGAUAUGUGUGGAUUCUUCAUUGUUAUGGCAUGCUUUUAGCUUGCUGGGAGUGUUUUAAAAGCAUGCUCCUGAGUUUUAUAAUUAUAUAACAUGCACUGUUUAUUUUUUGACAUACUGGGAGAUUUUUGUGUGAAUAAAUAAAAUGUGAUAUGUAUCUGUAUGCGAUUAGCUGGCCAGAGAUGUUUGAACAUCAGACUGUUUGUGAUAUUUAGUCAGAGAAUUAAGAAGAUGCCACUAAUGAAAGACAAAAGCCUAGCAAAGCCACUGAAAAAAGGUUGCGUUUAACUGAUGUGGCUUAAGAACGUAAGGGAAAAAAUAGCCAUCAAUGCUUGGGCAUUUUGUUGUAUCCUUUGCCGUGGCUGUGGCUUGGCUGCAGCCACAUCCUCUUUUCUUCACGAUGGGUUUCAUGGGGGAACUUUCAUGUGUGUGUCACCGUAUUCUCUUCAUUUUUGUCCCUCACCCCAGUUCACCAAGAAAGAAGAAACAUCCCCUUAACAGGGCUAUUGCUAACCUUCAUUUUUGAAGUGCUCAUUCUGUGUAUCUGCACAGACACAACUUUCAGAACUCCAACACGGCUUUUCAUGUGGUGUAAUGAGUCAGUUCUGUUGUUUGGAAUUUAAAUACUUGAAGUUAUGUCAUGAACUUUGUUGACGUUUUAAAAUAAAAAGUAAAUCCAAGACUAUAAAUCCUAAAAGGAGAACAGAAAAGUGCUUGAGCUUUUGAGUUCUAGAAAUUUAUAUACAUAUUUUUUACAAUAUUUAAAAUAGUCCCCCUCCCCCUACACACAUGGGAAAAAAACCUACUUGGUUGAUUUUCUGUAUUUUAAAGAAUAAACGACACAUAAAGUUUCAGAAGCUCUUUUUGUUAAGUGUGUAUUAGUCUCUCACACCUGUAGUGGAUGUUUAUACUUCUGUGAUGUGUGAAUUUAUUGUUUGCUGUGGUAACAGGACGAAAGAGGUGUUUUGGGAAAACACACUGUCUAUAUACAUAUACAUACUUUCUCUAACUCGAGCAUCCUUAGUUAACAUGGUUUAAACAUUUGAUUGGAAUGGAGCCAGUUCUUGUGCUAGUUCUAGACAGAUCGCAAAGCUCGAGGUGUGUGCUCUCUGCCUUAGAAUCCGCAUACAGUCUUCACACCUGGUACCCACUGCCCAGUUCUCCUUUCUCUCAGACACCGGCUUCAUUCUGGCUCACAAGGUAUGCGGUUGACUUCCAGGUGCCUGGCUUCUCCUUGUUUUCUUAAUUCUUAUUACAGAUUCUCAUCAAUAUUAGGAAAUGUGCACACGUUACUGCCAUUUUAAUUGGAUGAUUAACUAUCAGGGUUUUAUCACACAGCUAGGUAUUCAAGUGAGUUAAUGAUUUGGGUCUUAAAUCAAUUUAAGGAAUUCAUCUACCACUUGAUCAGAGCUGUCAGGAUGUCUGGGCAGGUUCUAGGUUAAAGGUGUAGCUUGAUGAUAUUACGGGAAGGAUAAUUUAUGUUUUUUGAUUGUGUCAGUAUCUCUUUGAAAAUGCCCCUGCAGGUUUGAUGGGCAUGGGACCCAACCCUUUUCAUCACCAGUUAGUUUGUUUCCGCAGGAUUUCAGCUUCAUGGUUCUGCCUAAACACCAGGCUGUUGAUUCUUUGGUGGUCACCAAAUAUGGCAAACAAUAAUUGAUUUACAAAUAUCUUUACCUUGUAAUUUUAUUCCUCAAAAAAGGAAAAAUCUUCCCAAUUUGAAGGUUAAGGGGGAGGAUAUCAGAUUACAAUGUGAAAUUAUUGGAACAUUGUAGAUAUUCAGGAAUGAAUACAGACACAGAUGUGUAAGACAAUGAAGAAAAGUUUUGAAGAUAUCUGUGUCAGUGGAAGCCAGCGCAUUAGACAUAGUACUACGUAAGCAUUGGACUACUGACCCACAUCUCUGACCCUGGAAAUGGAUAGAUACUUGAGUAGUUCCAGGAAUUAAGUCACAGCACCAGAGGGAAGACAGAGUAGUUUGUGCUGUGUUCUUGCUGCUCUCUCAGGUGACAGUGUGUACCGAUUCUCUGAAGUCAAGACCAGCUGUACAGCAAAGCUGGGAGAAAGAUUUGUGAUCAAUAGCUGCAGCUAGCUGGUCUAAGAACGUGAAUUGAAAAAUUAGGUUCUAUGGUUCUUAAACUACUGAUCUUUAACCAUACAGACUAGCUAGCUUUAAGAUUUACUGCGAAUGACAUUAAGCUGUCUCAUCUCAGUUCUCAUAGGGUCUUCCAAGCAUGGGAGACAUCCAACUCACGGUAACUGAACAGUGGAUGGAGCUGUGGACUUGUCAAGCCAUUGUUUUGCCUGUGUAUCUACAAGGUAUAGGCUAGUGUCCAAGGACACUUAGCUUGUUCAUCUAUCUAUCCAACCAUUCACCUGUCCGUCCGUCCGUCUGUCCAUCUGGUACGCUAACCAUGUACCUCAGGCCAGCUUCAAGCUCUUGAUCCUACUACCUUAAGCUUUGAAGUUCCACAGUUACAGAUUUUUGCCAUGUACCUCAGACAAGCAGGCUUUAUAGGAUAUGUGUAGAAAAGGUCUUUGGCAAUCUGGAGAAAGUUCUUUAAAUCAUGGUUGGCCGUCUUUCUGCACGCCUAGGCCAGAUCCUUCACUGGAGGACCGUAGGCAAUACCCAGAGAGCACUGGCUUCCCUCUGGGCAAAUCCUUCGGAGGCUGGAAGUGGGCUGUGCUGGCUCAGGCAGCCAAGCGGCAGCUGGGUGGGAAACCUCAGUCUUGUGCUGUUGUUUAAAUUUGAUUUAGUAUAAAUUGAAAUUUAAUUGUUUAUAUUGGCCCAAUUAAAAUCAAGAAAUGAGGUAUCAUAUAGAGAGAGCCCGCUGCAGAAUAGAUAAGCAUGUUUUCCCACACAGAAAGCCUGGUAGUUGAGUUGUAUAUAUUUAGUGUUAGGAGC